rnacentral:lncRNA from 1 species
GUGCACCUCUUAUUAUUUGGAAACUACAUUUACUGCAGCUGGCAGAGGCAGAGAUUGUUUCUAUUGAUACACGGAGUUUACAGAAUCAUUUUAAAUGUUAAUAGGGGAAGACUGCAGGAGGGAGCGGUAAAAUACAGGGGGUCCCCAGCAAAAACAAGAAACUACGAGUCUGAUGAAACCCGCUGGUUUUCCAUCAGGCAGUCACGGGGCAGCUCCAACGACCCAGUGACCGAGCUCAGCGGCGUCGUGCUCUGCUUAAGAAGCGGUGUUAUUUUCCUGCUUCAGAAGAAGCGUCCAAUGUGUUUUUACGCUGUCUCCGAGACAUGUCACGUCGCUAAGUUGUUAGCGCCGUGCGCUAAGGAAACCCUGCAUUCCUCUUCGGAACGAAAACCUCGUUGUCGCUCAGCCGCGGCGAAACCAUGUUUGUUCACACACAGGUGAAAACAAGCGGGGCACUAAUAUAUUACUAUGACUCACUCUGAUUGGUUAAGGGUCAAACAAAGGCGUGUCAUUCGCCUGAGGUAAGUUCCUUUUUCAUUCAGAGGCAGAAAUUCAACAGCAGAGCUGUGAAUCGUGAUAAAACGGUCUCUCAAAAAUGACAGACCGUCAGAUGUGUAGAUCGUAAAACGGUCUAGAAUCGUCAUAUCGCCCAGCCCUAGUGUGGGGACAGGUGAGUGGUGGAAAGCGGGUCCGUCAGGUGCAGGAGGAAGAGACAUGGCAAGAGACGUAUCCAGAGGGUUAGGGAGGGAGGUUGCAAGUGAACAAGAGUACCUGGAAUCAUUCACAAGGUCCGUCAUAUCAAUCAACAUUUGAAAUCAUAGACCAGAGACCUGAAACGAGAGCAAACACUCAAGAGAUGUGACAAGAGAUGGGAUGUGACUCAUGGUCCAGGAUGGAUCUGAGCUUUGCCAGCACCCUCUUGUUCCUCACCUCUCGUACUGAGUCCAGAGGACAGCCCAGGACAGAGCUGGACUUCUUUAUCAGUCUGUCCAGCUUCUUUCUCUCCCUCUCUGUGAUGCUGCUGCUCCAACACAC